UCCGGGGCGCCGGGAGCCGAGGACGCUGGAAUGUCAGGAGGGGUGAAGAAAGACGCCGUUUGCAUUCCCGCUCUCUUCUCACCCCUCGAAAGAGGCCGGGCGAGAGCCAGUCUCUGCCCGGUGCGAGGAGCGGCCCCCGCGCCCGCCGCUGGCAGCUCUGCGGCUCCCGGGCGCGGCGAGCACCUGUUAGCGCGGGUCUCCGCCUGCAGCCCCCGAGCGCGCGCGGCCUCCUGCGGCACAGGCCACCCGGGCGGCGGCAUGGAAACGAUCAGCUUUAGAAUGGCUGCUUCCUGAAUCAACUGGAUGCUGCAGCUCACAACAGUUCCAGGCCCGCAGUAGACAGACUGCCCAGUCAUCCCUCCUGAGCCAUCCCUCCUGCUCCUCAGCAUCUGGAAGUGGUGUGCAAAAAGAAAAGGCAGUGCCUGCCGUGGACAAGGGGUCUGUCACUCCCUUAUCUUAGUACAUUGACAUCUAUAAGGUACUGUAGGCGUUAAAAAGAUUCAUUGUCAGGCUGCACAGCACUGAAGAAUCCUGAGUAGAUGCUGGGAAGACAACAAAACCAACCAACCAACCAACCAACCAACCAACCAAACCUUAAUGUGCAUACUCAGAGUUAAAUGCAUGAAUCUUAUUAUUUAAUCCUUUUAAAUU